UUCUUUUUUAGAGUUGUAUGGUAUCCCAUACAACUGGAGUGAGAGGAGCUGUGAUCCUGAAUGUUUUGAGGCUGUGUGAGUAUUGCAUGAUUUCAAAUGUUACACUGUAAUGUCAUGAUGCAAACAGAAAACAAGUAGGGAGCUGAAUUUUAAAUAGCAUGGGAGAUCUGGCAUUAGAGAUGAUCAGCAAAGGAAGUUCACACUCAGGAAAUGACACUGAAGCUCGGUCCUAAAAAAUAAGAGAGAAUCCACCAGGGAACAUUAGGAGGAAGAACGUGCAAGCAAAACAAAGGACUGCCAAGGCAGGAAGGAGCUUGGCACACUGGAGAGGUCUGGAAACCACUGUGGAACAGAAGAGGUGGAGGGAGCACAGAACCAGACAGGGAGGGACCUUGUAGGCAGGGGUAUAGAGCCCAGGCAUGAUUCUAAGUGCAAAGGGAAGUUCAAGAGAGAAAUGGGCAUGCUCUGAUUUACAUCUGUGAACAAAUUCACUUAGGCAGCCAUGUGGGAGGUGGAUUAAAGGACAAGAGUGAAAGGAGAUGAUGAGCAAGGAGGCUCAUGCAGUACCCCAGGCAGGAGAUGACAGCAGCACGGAGACAGGGUGGAGGGCAGCGGGGAUGAUAAACACUGACAGUGUUCGGAUUUCUUUCAGAAGUAGAGUUGUCAGGAUUGGAGGUCACAGAGCUACUUAGUGAUAGAUCCAGGCCUGGAAUCCAAGGCUUCUGACAACCAGGUCAAAACAGAAGAGGAUGGAGAAUGGUCAGUGUGAGGUCACCAGUGACCUUGACAAGACCAGUUCAGAGUGAAGAGGAUGGAAGCCUGAUAGAGCAGGCUGGAGAAAAUGGAUAGAGACUGCAGCUAGCGAAUGUGUCGCAGUUGGCUAUUGGGAACGUCCUUCACAAAAAUCCACCUGACAUCAAAACGACCCUUCCAUUUGUCCUGGGACCACACACCUGCACAUGUGUUGUAGUCCACAGCAGAUUUCAUUUCUGCAACGCCA